rnacentral:rRNA from 1 species
CGCGUAGGUGGUGGCAUAAGUCCGAGGUGAAAGACUAAGGCUUAACCUUAGAAUUGCCUUGGAAACUGUAUCACUUGAGUCAGCGAGGGGAUGGCGGAAUUCCAGGUGUAGCGGUGAAAUGCGUAGAUAUCUGGAGGAAGGCCGGUGGCGAAGGCGGCCAUCUGGCGCUGAACUGACACUGAGGCGCGAAAGCGUGGGGAGCAAACAGGAUUAGAUACCCUGGUAGUCCACGCCCUAAACGGUGGGUACUAGGUGUAGGGCUCGCAAGGGUUCUGUGCCGUAGGGAAACCAUUAAGUACCCCGCCUGGGGAGUACGGCCGCAAGGUUGAA